rnacentral:rRNA from 1 species
UACGUAGGUGGCGAGCGUUGUCCGGAUUUACUGGGCGUAAAGGGAGCGUAGGCGGAUUUUUAAGUGAGAUGUGAAAUACUCGGGCUCAACUUGAGUGCUGCGUUUCAAACUGGAAGUCUAGAGUGCAGGAGAGGAGAAUGGAAUUCCUAGUGUAGCGGUGAAAUGCGUAGAGAUUAGGAAGAACACCAGUGGCGAAGGCGAUUCUCUGGACUGUAACUGACGCUGAGGCUCGAAAGCGUGGGGAGCAUACAGG